GUCGAGCGGAUGAGAAGAGCUUGCUCUUCGAUUCAGCGGCGGACGGGUGAGUAAUGCCUAGGAAUCUGCCUGGUAGUGGGGGACAACGUUUCGAAAGGAACGCUAAUACCGCAUACGUCCUACGGGAGAAAGCAGGGGACCUUCGGGCCUUGCGCUAUCAGAUGAGCCUAGGUCGGAUUAGCUAGUUGGUGAGGUAAUGGCUCACCAAGGCGACGAUCCGUAACUGGUCUGAGAGGAUGAUCAGUCACACUGGAACUGAGACACGGUCCAGACUCCUACGGGAGGCAGCAGUGGGGAAUAUUGGACAAUGGGCGAAAGCCUGAUCCAGCCAUGCCGCGUGUGUGAAGAAGGUCUUCGGAUUGUAAAGCACUUUAAGUUGGGAGGAAGGGCAUUAACCUAAUACGUUAGUGUUUUGACGUUACCGACAGAAUAAGCACCGGCUAACUCUGUGCCAGCAGCCGCGGUAAUACAGAGGGUGCAAGCGUUAAUCGGAAUUACUGGGCGUAAAGCGCGCGUAGGUGGUUUGUUAAGUUGGAUGUGAAAGCCCCGGGCUCAACUUGGGAACUGCAUCCAAAACUGGCAAGCUAGAGUACGGUAGAGGGUGGU
rnacentral:rRNA from 1 species